AGUUAUAGUCAGUCCGGAUCGGGCGCUCGGUUAGCCGCGACUCUUUGCUGCGUGUUCUUUGUUGUGUCGAAUAGAAAAUCCAAGGAGGCAGGUGUAUAAUAAUACGUGAGCGUGCAGAGAGUACAGUGAACAGUGUUCGCGCAUUUAUAGUUCUUCCUUUCUCCCUCUCUUUCUCUCUCUCUCUCUCUCUCUCUCUCUUUCUCUGUCUCUCUCUCUCUCUCUCUCUCUCUCUCUUUCUCUCUCCGUCUCUCCCUCUCCCUUUUUCUCCUUUUCAUCUUUUUCCCUAAUUUAUACUUCGUACAAGUGGCAGAAACUCUGGAAAAGGAAAUAGAGAAUCCAGCACGAUUAACGAAAGGGAGUAGCCACAUCGGGACGAGUGUCGGUGCAACAUCGAUGAAUUUAUAAAAGGACUCUGAAAUGCGGGAAUGUUCUUUUUGGAAAAUCCGACGAAUGACAAAGAAGCUAAACGAAUAUAUUCUUAACUAAAAAAGAGAAAGGGAAAGAAGAAAAGUUCUUUGGGAAAGAUCGUCAAGAAAAAGUUAAUGUUAAAGAAAAUUUGUCUGAAAAGGAGAGAUCGGAGGAUUUUAUGGUGAAAAAAAAAUACCCCCCACCCCCUCCAAAAAAAAAUUGGUGCAUCUUCUGGAAUUGAAAACUUGUAGAUCCGAGUGACCGAUGGACGUGACGGAAAAGUGACGCCAUCGACAUUGCGGAAAAAAGUCAGCUGCUAAAGCAGGUGGCUUGCGUCACGGCUUUUGUCAAGAUAAUGCGAAGCCUGGAAAGAUUGUCUGGUAGCGAUCAGGAUUGUGGUGAUCAGGAGAUGUACAUCGAUUUGGACGACGCUUCCGUUGACUCGCUUACAGGAAAACGGAGUCGCCAUCAUGUCGUUGGCACCGAGGUGGGCGAGGAGAGUGACAGCAGCGGUAGCGAGAGGAGCCCGAAGCAAGCGAAAAGAAGAAAUCGCGGUGGACCACCGACGACACGGAGGCGGAAGAGCGGAAUUUCUGCGCGCGAGAGAAACCUCAGAAGGCUCGAGAGUAAUGAGAGAGAAAGAAUGAGGAUGCAUUCGCUUAACGACGCGUUCGAGCAAUUACGCGAAGUAAUACCACACGUCAAAAUGGAGAGGAAGCUAAGCAAAAUUGAAACUUUAACAUUGGCAAAAAACUAUAUAAUGGCAUUGACGAACGUGAUAUGCGAGAUGCGUGGCGAGGAACAACCCUACACAUUCGUCGACGGUGAAUGCGGCUCCAACAGUGGUGACAGCACAGGUCAAUUGGAAUUGAGCGGUGGCGAGCAACUCGAAGAGGCAUCACCAGCAUCCAUCCUCGAGACAAAUAACAAUAGCUUACUCCACGAAGAUUUGGAACGCAGGAUACCUUAGCCGCCUUAGCUUUGGAAAGCUAAGGAUCGCUUCUUCACGAUAAGAUCCCGGUAUUCAGUGAAGCAUUCAUUCUCUACGACUGUCAGCAAAUUCGAUUUGCAAAGCAGGAAGCGAUACCUCGCACGAAAGUUAACCAAAAAGGCAGAGAAACGAAGGACGAUGAGGAGGAAAAAGAAUAAGAAGAUGCUGACGAUGUGAUUUGAAGAGCUCCUUUUAUAUUUGAUUCUUUCUUUUUUUUUUCUUUUUUUUUUUAUUUUUAUUCCUUUUGGCAAUGAGAGACAAGAAGUUGAAAAUAACCGACAGGAAUAUAGGUUAAGGGAAAUAAACAGUGAAAAGUUAUGACGUUCACAUCCCCUUCCCGCUAUCAUUUAUCCAUGAUCAAUAGAAUGAUUCUUAUCAUGAAAUUUUUAUAAAAAAAAAAAAAAAGUGCCAAUAUAUAUUUUUGUAAUGUC